GUCUGUGGAUUGCAACCCCCCGCCCCGGAGCUGCUGCAACCCCGCGCCCCACGGCUAGGAGCGGCGGCGUCUCCGCAGCCAGCUGCGGGUGGGGGGGACCCGCGGCCGCUCCCCCCUCCUCGGAGCAUCCCCCGCGGCUCCGGCAGAGCCUCCGUCUCCCCCCCCCCGGCAGUGCAAGGGGCCCCCCCGGGGGCUGCCUCCCCUCCCCCUGCGGAGCCGCAGCCCGGGGGCAGGUGGCCCGGCGGCUCCCGGCGCAGGGGAAAGUUUCCCGGCGCGCGGCGGCGGCUCCCGGGAGCCCGAGCUCCCCCCCCCGCCCCGGGAAGGGCCCGCGCUGCAGCGCCCCCUGCAGCCGCCCGGCCCGAGCUGCCGCAGCCUGGCCGGGUCCGCCUGGGAAGGGGGGGGCGCCUCCUGAGCCGGGGGGGGCGCGCCCCCCGGCAGCAUUUCUCCGCUCCAGCCCGGCCAGAGAGGGAGCCCGCGGCUGGGAUGCAGCCUUGGACGGCUUUAAAGAGGCCACCAAACAGACUUUCAUGUAAAGUGAUAACGUGGAGACCACCUGGGGAGAGGAGAAGGAGGGCGGCCUAGAGAAACAUUACGCAGAACCAUCGAGAAAGACUCCACCUCCGUCAACAUGACACUCGGAAGCUGACACAGACCAUCACAAGGCUGAAAUAAAGGGCGGAAAUUGGUGGACACCUGAUGGUCCUGAGAGUGUAGGAGGAGAGCAAGAGACAGAAGAGCUCUGAUCACUGCCCCUGUCCCUUUCUAUUCUUAAUCAGCCGUGGAGCUGAUUGACGAAUAUAACCUUUUUCUGAGCAGCGAUGUGGCCAUACGCCCCAGCGAGCGUUCUGACCGGCGCCCACAGAGAAACGCCGCUGUGCAGUGUGCCGGGACUUCGCGUGUGACCGUUACCAAACGCUACAGGCCAGCGUGGCUGAAAAGGAAGGUUCAGAAGACACGAAACAAGCAAACAAGGUGCCUUUAGCACUGGACAUGUGCCCUCAAAAGCCCACAUCAACCGUGGCAUGGAUGCAAACGGCUUUCUAAGUCCCUAAAGGGAGAUUAAAUUGCGCUGUGAAAUGCCCGGGUGAUUUAUCGCUCGUCACGGCGUGCUUGGCUCUCGUGGCAAUUUCCAGUUGUUUCCAUGGCAGAAGCCAUCGCUGGAGAAGGAGAGAGCCAAUCAGCAGCCACAAACAGCUGUCAAAUGGCCAGAAGGGCUAGCCGGGUGGCUGGCUCUCCUCGUUCAGGGAACGUAGGGCUCCAACAUUUGACUAGCUGCUCAGAUCAAAAAGGGGGGGGCACUCUUUUGCAGCAUCAAAGGUAUCCGAAAGAAUGAGGAAGAAUUUCCUGGCUUUGGCUCUCACAGUACCCAGCCCUUCCCCACUGGCACUCAGCAGCGCCAGUACUGCCACAGCUUCCCAAGGACCAGGCCCUGCUCAGGGGAGCAGCCCGCCCCUCUAGGCCCCAUGGAGGGUGUCACAUGGGGAGCCACUGGGCUUUCCCUAGAAGCAGCGUCUGGCUCGGCAGCUCAUUUCCUAGACACGGUCCUGCAGAAACAGCCCUGGGGAGCCACCCGCUACAUUUCACCAACCCAUCAUAGACCCACCUGCCCAAGCUCCUCUUGCAUUGAUGCUGCUGGCAGCUCCAUUGAGACAGCUACAGCUCCCUGAAACUUUCCUUUGCUGACCCACCCAUGGCCUCUCUGGCACGGCACCUCAGUGCUGCACUGGGCCCCUGCAUCCUUCUCUCCAGCCACCCAAGCAAUCCCUGACCUCAGUUCAAAUGCUGGCCCAAGGUUUCUCUGGCCCUGAAUCCCUACAGUCCCCUUCCUAUCCCUGAGUCUCUCCAGGCUCCACACAGAUUCCUCCCUGACCCCACCUUUGCCUCUGUCCUGCCCCGCUGUAGGAGCCGUACCUGAGUUAUGUAAUUGACCCGCUGACACCCCUGACUCCUAGUGAAUGGCUCAAAGUGGUGGAUAUUUAUCCCAGCACAUACACCAGUAAUUGCAGGCAGUGUGUACAAAACACUCGGCUCUGAGCCCAGAGAUGCUACUUUGGCAAGAAAGAAAACAAUGAUAAUCAUAAUUCUACAGCUGGGUUUCUUGAAACCACAUUUUAAAGGACUGGAAAUGUACCCUGCAGCAGAGCCUGUGUGACAUGCACCAGGUAUCUGCUCCCCCACCCAACCCUUAAGAUGGCUGCAAGAGAGAAUCUGGGGACAAGGCCUGCCUGCUGGUUCCCAUGCAGCAUCACCGACUGUCCCUGGUGGGUGCAAGGCCUGCCUGCUUGGGAGACCCUGAGAGCAGCUGGUGCAUGGACUUGCAGCGUUCCUGGGAGAUGACUAAGCAGGCGAGUGGGUAAGAGACUCAGGGUAUAUACCAGACUAGGUGCUGUGUGCUGAGAAAAUGCACCAUGCAUCAUACAUCCCCUAGACACUCCAGGGACGUGCACUUUAGAGGUGCGUUGUGUUAUCGCUGAUGUCAGCUGAGACCUGAUGAAGAGCUCCAGGUGGCUCGAAAGCUUGUGUCCAGUAAAAGCUUUCAUCUCCCCCACCGUGUCUCGCCAACUGAACAGAAUAGGUGGGAGUGGAUAAAUGCAACACUCCCAAGGCAGCAUCUGGGAUUCGGCUAAGGAGGAAAUAUCAGGGGGCUAGUGAUCUGUCCCCCUUCCCAGACCUGGCUCUGUGCCACAGCGGAGAAUAAUGAGCUCCACCACCUGGACUUGCAUCUCCCACUCAGAAACCUGACAUCAGUGGCAGCUUGGACACUCCAGCACCUCUCAGGAUCAGGCCUCAUGCCAUGGGGAGAGCGCUCACAUGGCCAGGGGAUUCUGAAGCACUGUAAGUGGACAGCAGAUGUUUGGUGAGGGGCUGAAACUCCAGGUGGCCUUUGCUACCAGUGAGCAGGGCCAUUGCUUCUGUCAAUUAGUCUGCCUUUCCAGUUGGAUUCAGCAAGGAGCAGGCAAUCCCUCUCCCACCUCCCCCUGCCCGCUCUGAGUUUAGCAGGCAGCUCUCAUGCUUGUCCGUCCUCAGGAGGGGGAACGCGAGACGGUAUGGGUUGCCAAUGAGUGCCAGAGCCGCUUCACAGAGGCAUCAGUCACUGGCACCCGCUUUCUGCACAGGGGCCAAGUGUGUGCUCAGACGAGUAAACAAGCUGGACGUGGCCAUCGCC